GACAGAGGUGCCAAGCGUUAGGCGGAAUCACUGGGCUUAAAGCGUGUGUAGGCGGAUCGUUAAGUUACCUUGUGAAAUCCCAACGGCUCAACCGUGGAACUGCUGGGUAUACUGGCGGUCUUGAGCCACCUAGGGGCGAGCGGAACAAACGGUGGAGCGGUGAAAUGCGUAGAUAUCGUUUGGAACGCCAACGGUGAAAACAGCUCGCUGGGGGUGUGCUGACGCUGAGACACGAAAGCCAGGGGAGCGAACGGG
rnacentral:rRNA from 1 species